UCCAAAUCAAAUGAAAAAAUUGGAAUUAAAAGAGGAGGAGAUUUGUUUUUGGUCUAAUAAAAAAAAGGUUUCUUUUUGAGAUUCUUUCAUCUUUGUUUGUGUUGUGGAUCACCAAAAAAGAAAAAAAAUAUUGAUUCCAUCAGAAGACAUUAAACAUUUCCAGAAAAACGUUUCAAAAAACAAAAAUUGAUUCCAAAAAAACGCAUGCGCCAUCAAAAUUCACAUCAUGAGUUUGGAGAUUCAUUCAUCUGUAAGUUUUGCUCUAAUUUUGAUCAAAUUAUUCAUGGCAUCAAAAUCUGAUGCAAAGAUAGCAUGAUCAAGAAUACAGGAUUCAUCUGUCGAUUGGUUAAAUUUAUUACGGAUGCUAGAAAAUGAUUCUAAAGUUCUUUGUGCUUUGGGUUUUACAUCGUAAAUCUUUUUUUUUUGCAGGAUGAUGAAAAUAAGCUUAUUCGAUUGCUAAAAUUAAAAUUAGGCCCGCGGCGUAAGGUUAAAUCUUUUGUUGUUAAAAGAUGGCUAAUUUGUUUUUUCCUAAAGAUAUGGGUCAAACCUUUUUUUUUUAUUUCAAUGAUUGUAACAUUUAUUUUUCAGUUUAUUAAGAGGGUUACUAAUAUCUCCAUAAUGGAAGAAGGUUACAACCACCACAACCGCUAGAUGUCUUUGCCUGGGAUGAGACUGGAAUGGUCGGAUCACUUGUUUGUCUCUCAAAAUGUUUUCCGUCCGUCCAAAGCUCAAAAACCUAUGCUGUUUUAUAUUAUAGAUGACACAAAUCAUAUAUGAUAGUGUGCAUAUAAGAGUAUCCAUGAAUCCUGCUUCGAAAAUAAACGGCAUAUCUAAUCACUUUAUUAAUAACUGAGCUUUGUCUCGUGUGUCCAUCAUAAUGGAUUUUGUUUUUCUAUUGAUUCCUACAAAUUGGAUAAAAAAUAUUUAUUACAAGAAGUAUUCAACUCCAGGGAUGAACCCAAAUAAAUUUUCUUUUGUUUACACCUCCUAUUUAUAUGAAUAGAAUGAAUAUUUCUAUCGAAGGAUCGGGAAAAAAAUCUAUAAUAAUAAAAAAAAUGCUCAGCUUGUCGCUUAGCUACCUACUGCUAUGUAAAGAACUUAUCUUUGAUUUCUAGUAAAAUACUCCUGGUGGCAAUCCUUUUUAAUAAUAAUAAUAAUAAUAAUAAAUCUAUUAAUUGAUGGUGCAGGGUUUGGUUUUCUCCAACAACGCAUAGCUACUUUACAGGCUUGAGUGUUUAUACAAUGGAUGAUACUAGCCAAUACUGCUAACUAUAUUCUCGUCUACAGGCACAACAAUUACAAGUUCAUAUCCACUUUUCAAUACAAGAUGGGAAUUCCGUCGUUUACCAGGGAUAGCGUGUGUUCUAGUUGUAACAAGGACAUGGAUAUUUUUGGAUAUCAUACACUCCAUUGUGCUAAUGAUGUCAGGCUCAAGUUUCGACAUGACUUGGUGAGAGAUGCAUUAGCCGAUAUUUGCUACAAGGCGAACAUUGCUGCUAGGAAAGAUGUCACAUUGGGCUUUUUGUCGGAUAGUGUUAAUGUUUUGACACCAGUCGAUAUCCUCGUUUACAAUUGGGAUAAUAGUAAGGAUAUAUGUUUGGACGUCAUUGUAGUCUCUCCUUUCACUAGGAGCGGAUUCCAUAAUUUUACACCAGGACAUGCUAUUGUUGCAGCUGUUAAACACAAAUCCAACAAAUAUUUAGAUAA